CUCCAUUAUGUGUAAACACAUUUUCUUGAUCCAUUCAUUUGUUGAUAGACACGUAGGCCAUUUCCAAGAUUUAGCUGUUAUGAGCUGUGCUGCUAUAAACAUGGGCGUGCAUGGAUCACUGUAAUGUGAUGCCUUGAACUCUUAGAAAAAUGAAAAAAGUACUCCCUGCUAGUAAGUGGAAAACUGGUACUGGAACCCGAAAUCCCUGACUUCCUAGUUAGUUCCACAACCUUUCUGCCAAGUUAUGUGGGGAUAAGGACUAUUUUAGCGUUCGUUCUUUCAUUCAUUCGUUCGUUCAUUCACCCUUAUUAGACUACGCUGUGGCUUAAACCCAGGGGAGACAGGCUGGGUCCAGAUCGGGAGGAGUGGCAAGCUCCAGGCCCGACUCCGAAGGGCACUGCAUGUUUGGAAGAGACUGGUGGCUGCAGACAAAACCGAUCCCACGGGUCUCCGUUGUUCAGACUGACUUCGAACUCACUAUAUAGCCCAGCCUGGCCUCCAACUUGCAGCAAUCCUUCUGCCUCAGCCUCCCGAGUGCUGGGAUUAUUGUGUACCACCAGGCCCGCCUGGACUUAUCCAUUUUUGACUUUACAAUAGUACAAAAGCUAUGUGCACUCAGUGAAACUGCACUUUGAAUUUUGAUUUUUUUCCCAGGCUAUGGAGAUGCAGUAUUAUACUCUAGCAGUACCUGCCUCUGCCAAGCCCUGGAUCAUGAAGGCAAGUGACUGCUACUCUUUGUUUGUAUAUCUCCAUCUGGAGACACCUGGCCACAGGUACAUAUUCAAAUGCUCACACACAAAAAA